GUAGGUGGCAAGCGUUGUCCGGAAUUAUUGGGCGUAAAGCGCGCGCAGGCGGUUCUUUAAGUCUGAUGUGAAAGCCCACGGCUCAACCGUGGAGGGUCAUUGGAAACUGGAGAACUUGAGUACAGAAGAGGAAAGCGGAAUUCCACGUGUAGCGGUGAAAUGCGUAGAGAUGUGGAGGAACACCAGUGGCGAAGGCGGCUUUCUGGUCUGUAACUGACGCUGAGGCGCGAAAGCGUGGGGAGCAAACAGGAUUAGAUACCCUGGUAGUCCACGCCGUAAACGAUGAGUGCUAAGUGUUAGGGGGUUUCCGCCCCCCUUAGUGCUGCAGCUAACGCACUAAGCACUCCGCCUGGGAGUACGGCCGCAAGGCUG
rnacentral:rRNA from 1 species